UGGGGAAUAUUGGACAAUGGGGGGAACCCUGAUCCAGCCAUGCCGCGUGUGUGAAGAAGGUCUUCGGAUUGUAAAGCACUUUAAGUUGGGAGGAAGAGCUCCGGGCUAAUACCCUGCGAGUUUUGACGUUACCAACAGAAUAAGCACCGGCUAACUUCGUGCCAGCAGCCGCGGUAAUACGAAGGGUGCGAGCGUUAAUCGGAAUUACUGGGCGUAAAGCGCGCGUAGGUGGUUUGUUAAGUUGGAAGUGAAAGCCCCGGGCUCAACCUGGGAAUUGCUUUCAAAACUGACGGGCUAGAGUACGGUAGAGGGUAGUGGAAUUUCCUGUGUAGCGGUGAAAUGCGUAGAUAUAGGAAGGAACAUCAGUGGCGAAGGCGACUACCUGGACUGAUACUGACAC
rnacentral:rRNA from 1 species